rnacentral:rRNA from 1 species
GUAUCCUACGGGGCGCAGCAGUGAGGAAUAUUGGUCAAUGGCCGAGAGGCUGAACCAGCCAAGUCGCGUGAGGGAAGACGGCCCUACGGGUUGUAAACCUCUUUUGUCGGGGAGCAAAGAGAGUCACGUGUGACUCAUUGAGAGUACCCGAAGAAAAAGCAUCGGCUAACUCCGUGCCAGCAGCCGCGGUAAUACGGAGGAUGCGAGCGUUAUCCGGAUUUAUUGGGUUUAAAGGGCGCGCAGGCGGAGGAGCAAGGCAGCGGUCAAAUUGCGGGGCUCAACCCCGUACUGCCGUUGAAACUGCA